UAUAUGUUGCGUUGGGAUGCAAAGAGGAAGGAGAUGUACGAGAAGAGGCUCAGAGAGGAGGCUGCGGAAAAGGAGCACAAGGAAGAGGAGGAAAGGAGGCGUGUUGCUAUGAACAGGGAGGAGAAGGAGAAGAAGCUUGAGCGUGCACGCCGAGCGAAAGCAGUGAUUGAGGAGAAUUUCGAUGCCUUGAGGAAGGGAAAGUGGCCUCGUUGCACUCAGUAGUCAUAAUUAGUUUCUAGUUCUAUAGUUUAUUUAUGAACAAUAUUUUCUACUGUGAGACUUUUAUUAUGUUGUCAUGUACUGAUGCACUUUAAGUAUGGACAUGCAAGUGGUAGACGACCUAUGUUUAUUUUGCGAUGUAAUGCACUUCAAAGUUGUACUCUAGUGAAAUUUCCGCAGAAAAUAAAAAGGGUACUUGUUAGUGAAAUUUCGGCAGAAUUUCCCCUAUUUUUUGAUGCAAUCCAUACAAAAUUACGAGAUGAAUAGUGAACAUAAAUACAAACAUACAAGCAUAUGACACAUUCAUUAUAAAAUCCACAAUAGUUUAGAAUGAAGGUCCAUAUACACAAAUAGUUCAUAUAACACAAAGUCCAUAUACCACAUAGUUCGCAAUAAGUACCCUCAGUGCCUCCUAGUCUUACCC
rnacentral:lncRNA from 1 species